CUUAAGAUGAGAACUGAGAACUAAUCUUAGCCCUUAGAUCAAUCAAAUUAACGGCCCAUAUCUUGUCCGACCAAAUCAAAAAAUAAGGGCAAUAGAGUAAUUUCACCGCCUUUGAAUGACCUCCCCUUCGUUCUCAAUUUUCAGAUUUUUUUCUCUCUUCCCCCCGUUUUCUGUCUCCUUCAGCAAAUCCUCUGAGAGCUUCGAUUCACAUCUCCAUCUUCUCCAACAUUUUCGAUUAUCGUCCUGCAAUUCCUUCAUAUUCUUUGCGAUCGUCUCUCUCAAUUCACGAACGCAGGUUGCUUUAGGGCUCUUGUUGAUGCAUGAAGUCAAGGAGGGAGUGUACUGGUAGCAGGUGGUUUCCAGAAUUAGAGAUUUGGUGAAUGUUGGUUAACAAGUACAAAUGUUGUUAUUUAUAUGGCCUGAUGAUUCCAGAGUCAUUAUCAAGACUCCCAGCUCGAAAUUCUCAGGUCUAGCUUGAUCUAACUUAAUGAUCCUUAGAUCAAUCCAACUUUGAAGAUAAGAGACUUCCUGAGAUUAAGCAGUUUUUAUUUUCUACAAUCAUUUGCAGUCAUUGCGGACAUAUCCCCAUUCAGGUAUCAUGACUAUUCUGAAUAUCAAAUUUUAAUAGCUAGCAUAAAAAACUGUUAAAGAAAGAUAUUUACGUGGUAAAUUGAGCAUUAGUUGGAUAAAAUUAUGCAAAUAAAAGCUUGCACGUUUUCAUUGAACAAACAAAGAAGGGUUAGAUGACUAAUAUUGUUUGACCACUUCUAAUUCCCAUCUUCUAAGGGUUAGGAAAUUUGAUCAUAUCUGAUUCUGACAAGUCAUACGCAGAUGUCAUCCUUGCAUAUUCUUGGCAUAUCAGCAUAUUCCUUCUAAUCCUCAUUGAUGGAUUGCGAGUUUAGCAACCACCUAACAUCAGAAAAAUGGACGAUACCUAUAAUUCUAGUUUAGUGUUCUUCUUGUAGCUGUAGCUGUCAUGUUUGAAGACUUUAUGAAGCCUUUAAUAUGAUCAGCUAGGCAGCCGCGUUUCAGUCGGCUUGUUGUUCAGUCGGCUGGUUGCUGCAGGUCUGUUACUUAUGAGUAUUUUUGAGAUUUUCUCAUUUACUUUUGAGUAUUUUUAAUUUACUUUUGAGUAUGUUUAAUUUACUUUUAAGUUAAUACUCCCUAGUCCCUAUUAUUUACUCCUGAAUUUUUUUAGGUUCUUCUCUAUGUUGUAGCAGUCUUGUUUGCAAACGCGGUUUUAGUUCUAGUAGAGGCAGCGUUUGUUCUGACCAGCUAGGCACCCACGUUCAGGUCUGCUGGUUGCGCAGGUCUGUUGGCAGUAGCUAGUUGUUGCAGACCUGAUGCAGGAUGUUCGAAGCUGAAGUCAACUUUUCAAGGUUGACUUUUGUAGCAGGUCGGUACAUAUUUGUUUUUUCUGCUUGCUGUUGUCUGCUUCUGAGCAGUUCAUGGUCAAUUUGAGCUAUUAGUUUUUAAGAAAAUAUUUAAGAAAAAAAUUAUAAUAGUUUCAUUAUUAUUUUGUUUACGUUUAGAGGGAUUUAGUCUACUUUUGGAGAUAUUUAGUUUACUUACGCUCAAUUCAGUUACAUUAUCUGUUUGUGUCAACACACCACCUUAUUAAUCACCACAUAUUUUCCUUAUUGUAGCCUAUUAGCUCAAUUGGUAGAGCUUUGUGCAUUGCACAAUGACGUAUGUUCGAAUCCUACAUAGGCAAUAUUUAGUACUCCGCAUAUGAUGUGAACUCUCCUAUUUGAUAAUUAUGUUACUUUUGAAUCAGUUAUAACUACUUCUACGAGUAGUUUAUUUACUCCUAUAUUGAACAAAAGUAACCGUCAAAAAAAAAUUGAACAAAAGUAAUAAUUAUAUGUGUACUUUAGAUAUAUUUUGAUUUACUUUUGAGGUAUUUCAAUUUACUUUUUAGUUUCUUGUAUUUACUUUUAAUCUCUUUUUUUUAAAAGUUUACUCUAAGAAACAACCUAUGUAGGAAUCGAACCUACAUCCCCUAUGCAUAUGCAUAGUGCUCUACCAUUUGAGCUAAGGUUUAAGUACAUCUACUAACAAAAUAUCAGAACAAACAGAAGUUUGCAAGUGGCAGAACAAUUUCUGCUUAG